GUUCAUUUCAGAUGCCCAUUUUUGGAUUGGAUCUUUACAUUUGGGAGGUUUGAUUAUUUUAAGUUCUUUAUAUAUUCUAGAUAGUAGCCCUCUGUCUGAGGAACAACUGGUAAAAUUUUUUUUCCCACUUUAUGGGCUGUCUCUUAGCUCUGUUGGUGAUUUAUCUUGUAGUGCAGAAGGUUUUUCAUAAGAAGAGGUCCUACUUGCUAUUUCAUUAUUCUAGUUCACGGGCAACUGAGGUUUUGUUCUAUCUUUAGAACAAAAGGUUCUAUCUUUAAUGAAAUAAGAAUGGAGCACAAGUCCUCCUAGACUGCUAGUCACUGCAGAUGGCCUGGUGUAACAUUCCCCUUGGAUUGUAUGUCAGCCAAGAAAGCAAAUAAUAAACAACUGAUUCUUUCCCUAUCUUUGCUAUGUUUCCCCCACUACAAACAUGCAUUCAUACACAGAGUCUUUCCAGGAAUUUUUUUCCUGGAAACACUUGAGGAUAUGGUGAUUAGAGAUUGAACUACCCUCCAAGACACCUGCAAUGAUUUUGAUUGUGUUCCCAAAGGCGUGCGUGCUGAAAUUUGAUUCCCAUUAUGAGGGGUAAGAAGAUAGAAAAUUAAUUCAGCUAUAGUGUUUUUGUGGUGGGGUCUUUGGGAGGUGAUUAGGAUUAGAUAAAUUUACCAGGGCUGGCUUUAUAAGAAGAGGGAGAAGCUAGAGGAUAUAGACACGUUUGGCUUUGUCUCCUACAUGUGUCACAUUGGGACUCUGCCAGCAAGAAGGCCAUCAUCAGAUGUGGGGCCUGGACUGUAAGCUAAAUUAACCUCUUUUCUAUAGUAACCCAGCCUCGGGUAUUUUGUUACAGUAACACAAAACUAACGAAUGAACUGCUGACACGGAAAUUUGUUCCUUCUUGGAGAGGGCUCAAGUCCAUCACAGGGACUGUGCAGACUUCACUGCCAUUGUUAAAGCAGAGAACACUAGACUCUUACAUCAAUGCCCCAGAAGACCCUUACGUAAGUGCUGACUCCCGGCUUUCACCUGUACCAGCCCAGGCCUUUUCCUGGGCACAUCACCUGUGUGACUAUUGCUUUUCCCUGAAGCAGUCUCACUCUCAGGUGGGGCAUGUUGCUGUGUGUGAUGAGCAGGGAAAACCAGGUGUGCCCCAAGGCAGGUGCACUGGUCAGGGUUGGGCAUCUCCACUGAAAACAUCCUUCGCCUGUUUCGCUGGAAACAGUCCACGCUCUCGGUUCCCCUCAGAAGCGAGCAUGGGAGGCAGCGCUCUAUCCCACUGCAGUCUCUAGAGACAGAGCUUGCAGCAGGUGUGGGCAGAUCUGCAGGUGUUGGGAAAGCAGCACAUUUGAGAAGAAAACAGCACUUUAAAGAAGGCAGCGAUGAUGGAAAAGAAAAGUCCUCAACAUUUGCUCCCUGGAGCAGGUAGGGCCCAAGGUGGUCUUAAGCAUCAGCCAGAAGGAACAAGUCAGGCCCUGCUGGCAAGUUCAAGGUGGGCACUUCUUCCUAGUCGUGCAGAGAAAGUGGAGCCUUCGUGAUGCCCCCAGGGCCAGUGUGAAGGGAGCCAAACCAUCGCCCCUUAGCAAGCCACAGGACACUUUUCCUCGAGUUUGGCCAGGGCUGGAUCAUGCCCAUCCUAUUCUGAUCCUACAGGCCCUGUGCAUUCUCUGCCCUCAGCAUGGCUGCCCACUUCGGGGUGUGCCAACAUCAUGGAUGAUCCCCUCUCUAAGCAGCUAGAUGGUGCCUCCAUUCCUUUUAUGGCAAUCAGAUGGACAUUUUAGCAGGGUCACCUGGGCACACACUGCAGGGGCAGCACUCUGAGAGUUUCAUGCAGGAGCACUGUUGUAUGAUAACCAGAAGAGACGGGAUCGUGGAGGAGUUUUGCAUACACUUCCCUCCCAAUAAAUCCCCCAACAAGAUCUAGAUCACAUCCACCAUGGUUUUCACCCUUGUUCUGCUGAGGAAGACUUUAUAAGUCUGAAUAGCCCUGGAGUCCAGUGUUUGUGUGGCUGUGGGGAAUGGAUGUCAACACAUAUAGAGUUACAUCUCACGGUCCACUGUCAAGAGUCUGCAGGGAGGAGAUAGGAACUCUCCGGCAAAGGUGUCCUCUCCCUCUUAGUAAUCUUUCCUGGAACAGAUCUCAAGUUAACCAGAACACUUCUCCAUGUCCUAAUAGGUAGACUUGGCUCAGGCUAAUUCUCAAUUCAGCUGCACAGAGCUUUGCAAAAUAUUGUUGCCUGGAUCCCACCC
ensembl:lincRNA